rnacentral:rRNA from 1 species
GACGAACGCUGGCGGCGUGCCUAAUACAUGCAAGUUGAGCGAUGAAGAUUGGUGCUUGCACCAAUUUGAAGAGCAGCGAACGGGUGAGUAACGCGUGGGGAAUCUGCCUUUGAGCGGGGGACAACAUUUGGAAACGAAUGCUAAUACCGCAUAACAACUUUAAACAUAAGUUUUAAGUUUGAAAGAUGCAAUUGCAUCACUCAAAGAUGAUCCCGCGUUGUAUUAGCUAGUUGGUGAGGUAAAGGCUCACCAAGGCGAUGAUACAUAGCCGACCUGAGAGGGUGAUAGGCCACAUUGGGGCUGAGACACGGCCCAAACGCCUACGGGAGGCAGCAGUAGGGAAUCUUCGGCAAUGGACGAAAGUCUGACCGAGCAACGCCGCGUGAGUGAAGAAGGUUUUCGGAUCGUAAAACUCUGUUGGUAGAGAAGAACGUUGGUGAGAGUGGAAAGCUCAUCAAGUGACGGUAACUACCCAGAAAGGGACGGCUAACUACGUG